rnacentral:rRNA from 1 species
UCGGGAAUUUUGGGCAAUGGGCGAAAGCCUGACCCAGCAACGCCGCGUGAGGGAUGAAGUAUUUCGGUAUGUAAACCUCGAAAGAAUGGGAAGAAUAAAUGACGGUACCAUUUAUAAGCUCCGGCUAACUACGUGCCAGCAGCCGCGGUAAUACGUAGGGAGCAAGCGUUGUUCGGAUUUACUGGGCGUAAAGGGCGCGUAGGCGGCGCGGUAAGUCACUUGUGAAAUCUCUGAGCUUAACUCAGAACGGCCAAGUGAUACUGCUGUGCUAGAGUGCGGAAGAGGCAACCGGAAUUCUUGGUGUAGCGGUGAAAUGCGUAGAUAUCAAGAGGAACACCUGAGGCGAAGGCGGGUUGCUGGGCCGACACUGACGCUGAUGCGCGAAAGCCAGGGGGGCAAACG